rnacentral:piRNA from 1 species
UUGUCAUUGGUGAGCACUGUGCUGUGCAAC